rnacentral:rRNA from 1 species
CCUACGGGUGGCAGCAGUGAGGAAUAUUGGUCAAUGGACGAGAGUCUGAACCAGCCAAGUAGCGUGAAGGAUGACUGCCCUAUGGGUUGUAAACUUCUUUUAUCUGGGAAUAAAAUGUUCCACGUGUGGGAUUUUGUAUGUAACCUAUGAAUAAGGAUCGGCUAACUCCGGGCCAGACGCCGCGGGAAUACGGAGGAUCCGAGCGUUAUCCGGAUUUAUUGGGUUUAAAGGGAGCGUAGGUGGGUUGUUAAGUCAGUUGUGAAAUUUUGCGGCUCAACCGUAAAAUUGCAGUUGAAACUGGCAGUCUUGAGUACAGUAGAGGUAGGCGGAAUGCGUGGUGUAGCGGUGAAAUGCUUAGAUAUCACGAAGAACUCCGAUUGCGAAGGCAGCCUACUAAACUGCCACUGACAUUGAUGCUCGAAAGUGUGGGUAUCAAACAGGAUUAGAUACCCCUGUAGUC